UACGUAGGGUCCGAGCGUUGUCCGGAAUUAUUGGGCGUAAAGGGCGCGUAGGCGGCCACCGCAAGUCGACUGUGAAAUCUCCGGGCUUAACCCGGAAAGGUCAGCCGAUACUGCGGGGCUAGAGUGCAGAAGGGGCAACUGGAAUUCCCGGUGUAGUGGUGGAAUGCGUAGAUAUCUGGAGGAACACCGGUGGCGAAGGCGGCAUCCUGGACCGAUACUGACGCUGAGGAGCGAAAGCCAGGGGAGCAAACGGG
rnacentral:rRNA from 1 species